UCAUGCAUAGGAGACAAAUAUCUCCCAACUCCAUGAUUAUUGGACAAAAAUAGUUUAAACCUUUAUAGAGACUCUCAUGAUAUGGAUUAUUUGUAUCUACUUCAUGAAAGUCUCAAGCCGUUGACUUCUUGAAGUGUACAUAGAGGUCGAGAGCACAAAUUAGAUAGAAAAAGUAAAUAGUGAGGUCAGACAGAGGUAGUGAAUUUAUGGUUAAAAUGAUGAGUCAGGCCAAAACCGGCCCCAUUUGAAACUUUAGAGAAAAGAAAGGCAUUGUGUGACUCAAUACACAAUGCUGGUAGCAAAGCAGAUGGAAGUUCGCUGAAAGGCGUAAUCGUACACUUAUGGAUAUGGUUAGGGUAUAUGAUGAGUCUACGAGUACCCAAUUUUUUGUUAGAGUGGAGCCCUAUAAACCGCAAUGUAUAUCUUGAAACAGGGUUCCUAGUUAAGGCGGGUUCCCAACUAUCCUUUGAGUUGUGGACUGGUAGGAAAACCUAGUUGAGACAUUACGUUUGGGGGGUGUCCCGCGGAGGCUAGAAUCAGAACCACAAGAAAAGAAAUUAGAUUCUAGAACAAUUUCUGAGUAUGUCAUUGGUUAUCCAGGAAAAGUCAAGGGGUACAGAUUCUAUUGUCCUACCCAUAGUACGAGAAUAGUUGAAACCGGAAAUUGCCAGAUUCUUAGAGAAUGGCGAAAUUAGUGGAGUUGGAAAACAAAAGAGAAAAGUGAGUUUCGAUGAAGUAAGACGUUGACAUCCCAACAUUUUCCUCGUCGAGAAGUUGUCACUCCUCAGAAAACCAAAGCUGAGUGAGAACGAACAACCUGAAAAUAUAGAUUCUCACUUCAUGAGGAUAUCGCCAUUGAAAAUAAGGUAGAACACCACAAACGGCAGUCUAAGAAGAUCUCAGAGGGAUAAGAGGGAAAAGAUCUUUGCCAUCCUCGAAUGAUUAUUGUGGGGUAUCUACACGAAUCGGAAUUUUGAUAUGGAUUAAGAAAGAUCGCUUUUGGUUUCACUGCCAUAGUAGUGAUGAUUCACUAAAGGGUUGAUGCAUUGAUGAUGAGUGAAAUUUAGUACCUAGAAAAUGAUGUCUGGGAUCUCGUCGAAAAUGCCUGCUAAUUGCAAAGAAAGGACAAUCAAGCAUGUAAAGGGUCUUUAAGACCAGGCGUGAUGCAAAAAGGACAAUAUCGGAACGAUUUAGAGGCUUAGACUUGGGUAAGGUUUCACUCAUAAAGAAGGCAUUGAUACAAAGAGACAUUUCUCCAGUAUUCUAAAAAGACUAAGCUUAAAUCUUUUGCCCUUGUAGCUUAUUAUGACUUAGAGCUACAUCAGAUGGAUGUGACAACGCUUUUCUAAAUGGUUAGUUUGGAUGAAAAAAUUUACAUGAUACAACCUGAAGGAUUCGCCAAAGAAAGGAAAAGAGCAUUUAGCUUGCAAAUUAAAGAAAGGAAAUCUAUUUAUGGCCUAAACAAGUUACAGGCAAUGUAUUUAAAGUUUAAUGAUACCAUUACUUCUUCGGAUUUACGAAAAACGCUGUGGAUGUGCAAUAUCUGAAGAUCAGUGGGAGAAGUUUAUUAUUUAGGAUAUAUGUGGGAUAAAUGGUUGUUUAGCUUGCAAUGAUCUUGGUUAUGACACGAAACAAAGAAUAUAUCGCCAAAAAUUUUAAGGAUGGUCGAUUUAGGUGAGGCAUCGUAUGUUAUUGGCCAUAGAGAUCAUAAGAGAUCGAUCUCAAGAUUGCUAGGAUUGCUCAGAAGGGUUAUAUCGAUCGGAGUUUUGGAGAGAUUUAAUAUGACAAAGUUGCCUCAGCAUGUGAUGCACAUAUGGUGAAGGGGGUGACAGGUUAAAUGAAAAACAGUGCCCAAGGAAGAUUUGGAAAGAUGCCGAUGGGGAUAUUCCGUAUGCCUCAGCUUUAGGGAGUUGAUGUAUGCACAAAACUUGUACCAAUCGGACAUUAGCUUUGCAGUGGGAUGCUUGGUUAGAUAUCAAAGUAACCAGGAAUGGAAACACUGGAAAACGAUAUAAAGAAGGUUAUGAGAUACCCUUCAAGGAACCAAAGGACUACAUGCUCACUAUAGAAGAUCGGAUCGUUUGGAAGUGAUCGGAUACUCAGAUUCGGAUUUCGCUGGUUGUUUAGAUAGCAGAAAAUCAAACCCGCAGGUUUGUUUUUUGUUAGCUGGUGGAGCACAUUCGGGGAAGAGUGUAAAGCCAAUCGAUUAUUGCUGAUCCACGAUGGAGGGCCCUAGAGUUUGUGGAAUGCUUUGAGGCCAAGGUCAUGCUUUAUGGUUGCGGAAUUUUACUCAGGAUUGGUGUGGUCGACUCAAGUACCAAGCCGAUGACGAUAUAUUGUGACAACUUCGCAACAGUUUUCUUCGCUAAGAAUGAUAAGUACUCUAAUGGUCCAAGCAUAUGGAAGUUAAGUACUUGGUUGUUAGAGAAAAGAGUUCCAGAAACAACAAGUGUCAAUUAAGAACAUGAGCACCACUCUUAUGAGAGCUGAUCCGUCAUGC
rnacentral:lncRNA from 1 species